CAAAGUGUUUUUCUCAUUACCCGAAUAAGUGCAUGGUUACAUACAUAAAUAGAACAAAGCUACAUAGAAAGAAAACACAGCUUGCUUGUGCAAGUAACUAAAGGUUUACAUCAACAAAAUGACAACCUAAUUUGACUACUAAAUCAGCUAAGCACACAUUUUAACCUUAGCUGAUCAAAGCAUAUAAUGAUUACACCAUAGACUAACAAAAGUCAACUAAAUAAACAAGGCUUGUCGAAUUGCACAAUGGAUUUUAACAUGCUUCAGCUGAGUUUCUGGUUUCAUGCAUGCAACGUAAGUUUGCAUGGAUUCUUAAACUUUGCUGCUGU
rnacentral:lncRNA from 1 species